GCUUUCAUAGCUCAGUUGGUUAGAACACCCGUUUAGUAAGCGGAGGUCUUGAGUUCAAAUCUCAAUGAAAGCA
rnacentral:tRNA from 1 species